rnacentral:rRNA from 1 species
AACGAACGCUGGCGGCAUGCCUAACACAUGCAAGUCGAACGAGAUCUUCGGGUCUAGUGGCGCACGGGUGCGUAACGCGUGGGAAUCUGCCCUUUGGUUCGGAAUAACAGUUGGAAACGACUGCUAAUACCGGAUGAUGACGAAAGUCCAAAGAUUUAUCGCCAGAGGAUGAGCCCGGGUAGGAGUAGCUAGUUGGUGUGGUAAAGGCGCACCAAGGCGACGAUCCUUAGCUGGUAUGAGAGGAUGAUCAGCCACACUGGGACUGAGACACGGCCCAGACGCAUACGGGAGGCAGCAGUGGGGAAUAUUGGACAAUGGGCGGAAGCCUGAUCGAGCAAUGCCGCGUGAAUGAUGAAGGCCAUAGGGUUGUAAAGCUCUUUUACCCGGGAUGAUAAUGACAGUGCCGGGAGAAUAAGCUCCGGCUAACUCCGUGCCAGCAGCCGCCGUAA